CGGUUUGGUCAGUCCUCCGGGAAAUCUGACGGCUCAACCGUUAGGCUUUCGGGGGAUACUGCCAGGCUUAGAACCGGGAGAGGUAAGAGGUACUACAGGGGUAGGAGUGAAAUCUUGUAAUCCCUGUGGGACCACCUGUGGCGAAGGCGUCUUACCAGAACGGGUUCGACGGUGAGGGACGAAAGCUGGGGGCACGAACCGGAUUAGAUACCCGGGUAGUCCCAGCCGUAAACGAUGCUCGCUAGGUGUCAGGCAUGGCGCGACCGUGUCUGGUGCCGCAGGGAAGCCGUGAAGCGAGCCACCUGGGAAGUACGGCCGCAAGGCUGAAACUUAAAGGAAUUGGCGGGGGAGCACAACAACGGGUGGAGCCUGCGGUUUAAUUGGACUCAACGCCGGACAACUCACCGGGGGCGACAGCAAUAUGUAGGCCAAGCUGAAGACUUUGCCUGAAUCGCUGAGAGGAGGUGCAUGGCCGUCGCCAGUUCGUACUGUGAAGCAUCCUGUUAAGUCAGGCAACGAGCGAGACCCGUGCCCACUGUUACCAGCAUAUCCUCCGGGAUGAUGGGUACUCUGUGGGGACCGCCGGUGUUAAAUCGGAGGAAGGUGCGGGCCACGGUAGG
rnacentral:rRNA from 1 species